UCAUUUCGCACUCUGUUUGGUCCCUUCUCUGUUCAUAACUUCUCUGUGUCGAUAUUCUUCCGACCAUGGUUAGGGCUAGGAAGCGGCAAUAUUCUUCUGAUGAUUGUUGGUAACUGGCGACAGCUUCCGGCCAUUGUUCAUUGGCAUUCUUCAACUCGGCGAGAUCGAACUCCCUUUCUUGUUCACUGAUGAAGAGGCCUACACUACAAAAUGAUGAUCAGUAUUCCGGCCAUUGUUCAUUGGCACAGAGUCAGUUAUAUCUUUUCCCUUCGAAGCUCUGGAGAGAUAGAAAUAGAGGAAUUUUCUACAGUCAGGAAAGAAUGUUCACAAGCCUGAUGUGCUUCUUGGAUUGUCUGUAGUUGGUGGAUUGUUCAAAGGGUUUUAAGCAUGGUUCUUCUCUAAUAGAAUUCAUGGCCGCUACUGAUCAUUUGUUGCCUUAAUAUUACGUUUUCACUCGUGAAGAAGCAGUCUCAAUCUUGGGUGAGAACAUUAUAUAUUCAAAUGGAAGCUCAUUAAAAGUAUGUUAAAUUCGUUUUGCUGAUCGAUGCAAACACUACAAGAUGGUGAUCGUUAUUCAAUGUUCGGGUUCUAUCACAGGCUGGGAUCGUUCACCAGGAGCAACAGGGUUUCUCCCACAAAACGCAGUAAUCUCUACAGAGCAACUGGUUGAACUUUUCUCUUUCUCCUUCAUGGUCUCCGCAGGGAUCAGCAGGAGUUGUAAUUUCCAGAAUGUAGAGAACACAGGGGAAGCUUGAAGAUUGAGUUUCCAAAGCAAAAGAUUAUUGGUUUUGGUGCUGCUCUGCUGGAAGAGCAAGAUUUGAUGGGCUACGCAAGCCAUAGAAAGGAUGCUGGGUAGCAACGUGUCAGCAUUUAAGGUUGCUUGAAGCCAAGUUGUUUGGGUCGUAAAUGCUAAGGUAAUCAACCAUUAAUCUUUUUUUGUAUAAAAUAUGUAAAGACAAAAGGUUUUAUUUUUAAUAGCUAGUUUAGAUUUACUAACCAUGUGAAGUACUGGGGUUUGGCAAAUAGAGAUUUUCUUGGUUAUCUUCUUGAUCAUUUAACUUUUUUCCGGAGAGAACUAUCAUGAAUAUCAAUUUCUGUUAUAUGUGAGGUCUCAUGUGUGACUUGGGAGAUGGAAGAUACUGGUGAAGAAGCCUAUGGCCAUGGGUGAAUAAAUAAUUGGAGCAACCUAUUUGGUGCACCAAAUAUCUCACGAGUUGCUAGACUAAAAAAUGUUGCAAGUUAGGCAAUACUUCUCAUUCUGGAUCAUGAACAUUUGGUAUGCAGAUUAUGGUAAAAAUACAAAAUAAUUCCUUGUUGCUUUGGUGAUAGAACGGGAAUCAAAUUGAGGCUAAAUUACAAAAUGACGAUCAUUAUGCUAAGUGCAAUCACAGGUGGGGAUCCUUCACCACAAGCAAUGGGUAUGGUCCGACCAUUGUUCUCGAUCUUUGGUGUGAAAAUAAUUGACGGCACUGGGGGGACAACGUAAAAUGUCUUUUAAGCUCAAACAUCGUUGUUCAAUUAGCAUCAUAUUGAAAUCCCUCGUUUUUCCAAGAGAUUGAAAUGUACGUCUUUUGCAGCACAUUUGGACUUUUUUAAUGAAAUAUCUGUUGCUGUUUGAUUUGGACA